CCUACGGGAGGCAGCAGUGAGGAAUAUUGGUCAAUGGACGAGAGUCUGAACCAGCCAAGUAGCGUGAAGGAUGACUGCCCUAUGGGUUGUAAACUUCUUUUAUAUGGGAAUAAAAUGUUCCACGUGUGGGCUUUUGUAUGUACCAUAUGAAUAAGGAUCGGCUAACUCCGUGCCAGCAGCCGCGGUAAUACGGAGGAUCCGAGCGUUAUCCGGAUUUAUUGGGUUUAAAGGGAGCGUAGGUGGAUUUUUAAGUCAGUUGUGAAAGUUUGCGGCUCAACCGUAAAAUUGCAGUUGAAACUGGCAGUCUUGAGUACAGUAGAGGUGGGCGGAAUUCGUGGUGUAGCGGUGAAAUGCUUAGAUAUCACGAAGAACUCCGAUUGCGAAGGCAGCUCACUGGACUGCAACUGACACUGAGGCUCGAAAGUGUGGGUAUCAAACAGGAUUAGAUACCCUUGUAGUC
rnacentral:rRNA from 1 species